GUUCAUUUGCACAGAAUGCUGUGUAACAGACAAGGAUUACAUCAUGCUAUGAAUCUGGUCUUUAAACACUCCACAGCUUAAGAUGGAGGAGGAAAAACAAAAGGAGAUGAAAUGGGAGAUGCUUUUGACAAGUCCUUAGUGCCUUUAAAGCACCCAUUCUUGCCGAUUAGAGAUGACAAAAAAGCAAGAGGAAGCCAGUGUACAAGCGAGGGGUUGCUCAACAGGAAGGCUUAGCUCAAAAGCUUCUGAGAAGA